UGAGCAACCUGCCCUUGACUCCGGAAUAACAGCUGGAAACAGCUGCUAAUACCGGAUAUGACCUCCGAUGGCAUCAUCUGGAGGUGGAAAGCUCCGGCGGUCAAGGAUGGGCUCGCGGCCUAUCAGCUUGGUUGGUGGGGUGAUGGCCUACAAGGCGACGACGGGUAGCCGGCCUGAGAGGGUGUCCGGCCACACUGGGACUGAGAUACGGCCCAGACCUGUACGGGAA
rnacentral:rRNA from 1 species